UAAGGAGAAGCAGCAGCAAUUGUUCAGGGUAGAUUUCAGAUAUCUCCAGACAGCUGUACAACUGCGCCUCUAGGGAGAAGAGAUUCUUGGAAAGCAGGUCAUAACAGGAACUUCAAAGGACCUCCCCACUGAGCUGGCACCAUGCAACUCUUUUACCCUCUCAUCUUAGUUGUCUUCUUCAUCUCUCAAGUAAUGCCAGAUUGUGAAUUCUCUGAAACAUAUCAAUAUUGCCAUGCACGUGGAGGUGUGUGCCUAAGGAGGAAAAAUAAUUGCAUUUUUCGCAUGGCAGGGAUAUGCCCUGGAAGGAGCUUCUGUUGUAGGAGAACGAAGUAAAUGGAGAAGUUCAUGUUUCAUAUAGUUACUUUGAAUUACAUUAAAAGGCUGAGAAACUCA